rnacentral:sRNA from 1 species
CACUGUGAGAUAUAGAUUAUUGAGAAAGCUGAGAUUGUUUGAUAAAAGAUUGGUUUGAUUGAUCUGAUAUCUGACUGUGAAGCUGCUGUUGGCCUAUACCUUGGGUCGAGUUUCAUAAUAUUCAAGACAAACCCGUUGUCCCCAUGGAAUCUCUCUCGCCAAGUAGCGAGGGAGAAGAGCUUCAAUUUUUCAGGUCGCACAUCUGAAUGACGAGUGACAGGAUUUUCAAAGUCUCCAUAUCAGCAAGGUGAGCAUGUGGCUGUGAGUACCGUCCAAAAUAGAGUUGGAUACUUUGCAAAGAUCUCAAUUUCAUAGCCAUUGUAUCCUCAAGGAGCUAUCGGUUGGAAUAUGAAGAGAAUGCACCCCCAGGUCACGGAUAUGACCCGUUGAUGAGACAGUCAGCAUCAGAGUUUUUCAGGGGCCAGGGUUCUAAUAGCUCCUAUCAUCCCAAAUGACCAACUGUCAGUUGACGAAGCUCUCAACUAAUUUUUUGUCUAUAUUUUUGUACCUUUUAUCUCACCUGUUUUCCAGAAUAUAACC